GAACGUCAUCCCCACCUUCCUCCGGUUUAACACCGGCAGUCCCUUCAGAGUGCCCAACUUAAUGGUGGCAACUAAAGGCAAGGGUUGCGCUCGUUGCGGGACUUAACCCAACAUCUUACGACACGAGCUGACGACAGCCAUGCAGCACCUAUCUCCCUGUGACCGAAGUCAAAGCCGCAUCUCUGCGGUUGUCAGGGGAUGUUAAGCCCAGGUAAGGUUCUGCGCGUUGCUUCGAAUUAAACCACAUACUCCACCGCUUGUGCGGGCCCCCGUCAAUUCCUUUGAGUUUUAGUCUUGCGACCGUACUCCCCAGGCGGGAUACUUAAUGCGUGAGCUUCGGUACCCAGGAGGUUAACAUCCCGGACACCUAGUAUCCAUAGUUUACGGCGUGGACUACCAG
rnacentral:misc_RNA from 1 species